rnacentral:misc_RNA from 1 species
UGAGACGCAUUGGCUUAGCAUGACCA